rnacentral:rRNA from 1 species
GAUGAACGCUAGCGAUAGGCUUAACACAUGCAAGUCGAGGGGUAACGUGUUGGAAGCUUGCUUCCGAUGACGACGACCGGCGGAUGGGUGCGUAACGCGUAUGCAACUUGCCUCACAGUGGAGAAUAACCCGGAGAAAUCCGGACUAAUACUCCAAACACUCUUAAGUACGCCUGUACAUGAGAGGAAAGAUUUAUCGCUGUGAGAUAGGCAUGCGUCCUAUUAGGUAGUUGGUGAGGUAACGGCUCACCAAGCCGACGAUAGGUAGGGGUGCUGAGAGGCAGAUCCCCCACAUUGGGACUGAGACACGGCCCAAACUCCUACGGGAGGCAGCAGUGUGGAAUAUUGGUCAAUGGAGGAAACUCUGAACCAGCCAAGUCGCGUGAAGGAAGAAUGUCCUAAGGAUUGUAAACUUCUUUAGCGAGCGAGUAAGGACUUCCACGUGAUGGGAGUUUGAAAGUAGCUCGAGAAUAAGUAUCGGCUAACUCCGUG